UACGGGGGGGGCAAGCGUUGUUCGGAAUUACUGGGCGUAAAGGGCUCGUAGGCGGCCAACUAAGUCGGAUGUGAAAUCCCCAGGCUCAACUUGGGAACUGCAUCCGAUACUGGAUGGCUUGAAUCCGGGAGAGGGAUGCAGAAUUCCAGGUGUAGCGGUGAAAUGCGUAGAUAUCUGGAGGAAUACCGGUGGCGAAGGCGGCAUCCUGGACCGGCAUUGACGCUGAUGAGCGAAAGCUAGGGGAGCAAAC
rnacentral:rRNA from 1 species